AAAGCUAUAAAGCUGUUAGAGAAAUUGGCUUUCCGAGUUAUGAACUGUGUGCAGAAAGUUGAGGAAGAAAGAACUCAAGUACAACCCAGUGAGGUUGAGAUAUAGGCUACUCUUCCCAACUCAGUCUUGAAGAGUAUCACCAACUGCCUCAUGUGUGGUGACCUUCACUGUCGUAUGCCAGUGACUCAUCUGGAGUAAUCUCAACAACCAGUUACCAAUACUUGCUCUUGAUUGAUAAGCAGAAUGGGGCUUUGGAUCUUAGCAAUUCUCACAAUUCUCAUGUAUUCCACAGCAGCGAAGUUUAGUAAACAAUCAUGGGGCCUGGAAAAUGAGGCUUUAAUUGUAAGAUGUCCUAGACACGGAAAACCUAGUUACACAGUGGAUUGGUAUUACUCACAAACAAACAAAAAUAUUCCCACCCAGGAAAGAAAUCGUGUGUUUGCCUCAGGCCAACUUCUUAAGUUUCUACCAGCUGAAGUUGCUGAUUCUGUCCCACAUUCAAUAAGACUGGAUAUGCAAAUGUCACCAUAUAUAAAAAACAACUAGAUUGUAAUGUUCCAGCUUAUUUGAUGUAUUCAACAGUAUCUGG
rnacentral:sRNA from 1 species